AACGUAGGAGACGAGCGUUAUCCGGAUUUACUGGGCGUAAAGCGCGUGCAGGCGGCAUGGCAAGUUGGAUGUGAAAGCUCCCGGCUUAACUGGGAGAGGUCGUUCAAUACUGCCAGGCUUGAGAGUGGUAGAGGGAAGCGGAAUUCCGGGUGUAGUGGUGAAAUGCGUAGAUAUCCGGAGGAACACCAGUGGCGAAAGCGGCUUCCUGGCCCAUUUCUGACGCUCAGACGCGAAAGCUAGGGUAGCAAACGGGAUUAGAAACCCCAGUAGUCC
rnacentral:rRNA from 1 species